UCAAAAAAUUCAAAUGGUUCACUUUCCCAAAAUUCCAUUUUGCGAAGCUCUCUGUGAAGAACAGAAGGCGCCACGCUAGACCACCAUGAUGAUGGACGACCGACCUCCGUGCAAGACACCUCAAAGUCGUUUCUUCUCCAUCUUCAUUGAAACGGGAGCUAAAGUUAAUCCUUUAAUCUGAAUUGGUCUCGGAAGCUUGUGCGCAGUUGACUCGGGAGUUCUUUAUGGAGGUCAUGUUGCGACUGCUUAUCAAAUGUAGUUCAAAAUUAUAUUUAGAGGUCAGAAAAGAUGCCACUCAAAUUGUCGCAAAUCUACAAAGAAAAUUGGUUCAGUCUAAGUUGAUUGCAUCUCAUUACUGGAGAAAAAUAUGGAUAUUUUGAUAAUUGGAUGAUAUACAUUCAAGAUUACAAAUGAUGGCUUGUUGAUCCCACCUUUCUUCAAUGCUGAGAAUUGUAUAAAGACAUUUUAAUUUCCAAAGGUACUUCCAUUUUUUCAUCUUUGUCUUACCUUCAAUAUAUAAACUCUACAUUUUCUUUAUGGUCAAUUUGA